AUUGAACGCUGGCGGCAUGCCUUACACAUGCAAGUCGAACGGCAGCGCGGACUUCGGUCUGGCGGCGAGUGGCGAACGGGUGAGUAAUACAUCGGAACGUACCCCGUUGUGGGGGAUAACUAGUCGAAAGAUUAGCUAAUACCGCAUACGACCUGAGGGUGAAAGGGGGGGACCGCAAGGCCUCACGCAGCAGGAGCGGCCGAUGCCUGAUUAGCUAGUUGGUGGGGUAAAGGCCCACCAAGGCGACGAUCAGUAGCUGGUCUGAGAGGACGAUCAGCCACACUGGGACUGAGACACGGCCCAGACUCCUACGGGAGGCAGCAGUGGGGAAUUUUGGACAAUGGGGGCAACCCUGAUCCAGCAAUGCCGCGUGUGUGAAGAAGGCCUUCGGGUUGUAAAGCACUUUUGUCCGGAAAGAAAUCGCGCUGGUUAAUACCUGGCGUGGAUGACGGUACCGGAAGAAUAAGCACCGGCUAACUACGUGCCAGCAGCCGCCGCCG
rnacentral:rRNA from 1 species